GAUGAAGAACGUAGCGAAAUGCGACACGUAAUGUGAAUUGCAGAAUUCAGUGAAUCAUCGAGUCUUUGAACGCACAUUGCGCCCCCUGGUAUUCCGGGGGGCAUGCCUGUCCGAGCGUCAUUGCUGCCCUCAAGCACGGCUUGUGUGUUGGGCCUCCGUCCUCCUCCCGGGGGACGGGCCCGAAAGGCAGCGGCGGCACCGCGUCCGGUCCUCGAGCGUAUGGGGCUUCGUCACCCGCUCUUGUAGGCCCGGCCGGCGCUUGCCGACACAUCAAUCUUUUUUCCAGGUUGACCUCGGAUCAGGUAGGGAUACCCGCUGAACUUAAGCAUAUCAAUAAGCGGAGGA
rnacentral:misc_RNA from 1 species